rnacentral:sRNA from 12 species
GACCUAAACCAGAAGUGGCAAGGUCAUCAAAUCUACAACGAAGAACAGCUCGUCAUUGGGUACUCUUCGUUGUAGUUGUAGCUGGAAACGGCUACAGGGGCGCAAGCUCC